GUCCAGAGGAAAGAGCACAUGACUCCCGCACCCAUAGUUCCAGGUUCGAAUCCUGCAA
rnacentral:tRNA from 16 species